rnacentral:rRNA from 1 species
AGAGUUUGAUCAUGGCUCAGGACGAACGCUGGCGGCGUGCCUAAUGCAUGCAAGUCGAGCGGGCUACGAUCUUCGGAUUGUAGCUUAGCGGCGAACGGGUGAGUAACACGUAGGUGAUCUACCCUUCAGAGGAGGACAACCUCAGGAAACUGAGGCUAAACCUUCAUACGUUCACUGGUAGGGAUACUGGUGAAGAAAGAGUUACCUUAGUGGUAGCUGCUGAAGGAUGAGCCUGCGGCCCAUCAGGUAGUUGGUGAGGUAACGGCUCACCAAGCCGAAGACGGGUAACCGGUCUGAGAGGAUGUCCGGUCACACUGGGACUGAGACACGGCCCAGACUCCUACGGGAGGCAGCAGCAGGGAAUCUUGGGCAAUGGGCGAAAGCCUGACCCAGCGACGCCGCGUGGAGGAAGAAGUCCUUCGGGGCGUAAACUCCUGGACUGGGGGACGAGGAAGGACGGUACCCCAGUAGAAAGGGACGGCUAACUACGUGCCAGCAGCCGCGGUAAAACGUAGGUCCCGAGCGUUGUUCGGAUUCACUGGGUGUAAAGGGCGCGUAGGUGGUUGUCUGUGUCUCAUGUGAAAACUCAGGGCUCAACUCUGAGAUUGCGUGGGAAACUAGGCAGCUAGAGGACGGUAGAGGGGAGUGGAAUUCCCGGUGUAGCGGUAAAAUGCGUAGAUAUCGGGAGGAACACCGGUGGCGAAGGCGGCUCUCUGGGCCGAUCCUGACGCUGAGGCGCGAAAGCUAGGGGAGCGAACCGGAUUAGAUACCCGGGUAGUCCUAGCCGUAAACGAUGGGUGCUAGGUGUUGGGGGGGUAAAGACCCUUCAGUGCCGAAGCCAACGCGAUAAGCAUCCCACCUGGGGAGUACGGCCGCAAGGUUGAAACUCAAUGAAUUGACGG